CCUACGGGUGGCAGCAGUAGGGAAUAUUCGACAAUGGACGCAAGCCUGACCCAGCAACGCCGCGUGAGGGAAGAAGGCUUUCGGGUUGUAAACUUCUGUUCUCAGGGACGAAACAAGUGACGGUACCUUAGGAAAAAGCAUCGGCUAACUCCGUGCCAGCUGCCGCGUUAAUACGUAGGAUGCGAGCGUUAUCCGGAUUGAUUGGGGUUAAAGGGUGCGUAGGCGGACAGUCAAGUCAGCGGUAAAAAUGCGGUGCCCAACGCCGUACAGCCGUAGAAACUGGCAGUCUUGAGUGCGAGAGAGGAAUGCGGAACGCGAGGUGUAGCGGUGAAAUGCAUAGAUAUAACGAAGAACUCCGAUGGCGAAGGCAG
rnacentral:rRNA from 1 species